rnacentral:rRNA from 1 species
UGAGGAAUAUUGGACAAUGGGCGCAAGCCUGAUCCAGCCAUGCCGCGUGCAGGAUGAAGGCCUUCGGGUUGUAAACUGCUUUUGUACGGAGCGAAAAGGUCUGCCCUAAUACGGUGGGCUCAUGACGGUACCGUAAGAAUAAGCACCGGCUAACUACGUGCCAGCAGCCGCGGUAAUACGUAGGGUGCGAGCGUUAAUCGGAAUUACUGGGCGUAAAGCGUGCGCAGGCGGUUAUAUAAGACAGAUGUGAAAUCCCCGGGCUCAACCUGGGACCUGCAUUUGUGACUGUAUAGCUAGAGUACGGUGGAGGGGGAUGGAAUUCCGCGUGUAGCAGUGAAAUGCGUAGAUAUGCGGAGGAACACCGAUGGCGAAGGCAAUCCCCUGGACCUGUACUGACGCUCAUGCACUAAAGCGUGGGGAGCAAACA